GAUUAUGAUGCGUUCAAAACGCGGCGUUUUUUAUUUUAUCGUUUCACACUCUCUCUUCUCCACCGUAGGCAAUUCUAAGGUUUUCAUCGAUUCACUGAUCCAGCAAUCAAUCGGCGCCGUAGCGAAUCGAGCGAUUUAUUCAUCUUCUUCCUACUGAUCGAAUCCAGAAAUCAAUCGGUUAAGGAUUCAUUACUAUUAAAUUCCAUCUUAAAUCCAUUGUACACGAUCUAUCUUCAAUGCCACUUUUGCUCUUCAAAGGUGGUGGAGAUUCCACUAUAAAAAAAGGAAUAUCAGUUGACCAGUUACAGACCCUGUGAAAGUUUAAGAUUAUAGCGUUAGUGGCAACGUUUUCCUAAUAAAAAUUUCUUCAUAUCGCCUGGCAUAGGCUGAGAAGCUACACACGACACGAGUAAAGGAUGAGGAGUGCGAGGCAGAUGAGUGGAAGUUCUGUGUUGUUUAGACGUCUUGCUUUAGUUAUACUGAACUUGGCUAAUUGUGACAUGUUUGCUGUUAAAGUUACCCAAAAUCAAAAGUCUACUUUACAGUUCUCCCAAGUUUUAAUCUCAAGGGUUAUGCUUCAAUUGGCUUUAGAGUUGCAUACUCUUUGAUGGUUGGUGGGAGAGAAAUGCUUCAUUGUCUUGUCAUAAAACUACAACUUUGUGGGGGUUGUUGUCUAAUUUCGGUUGUUAGAUGUUAGUGUUUCACUGUGUCCAAAAGAAAAAAAAAAAGAUGUUAGUGUGUCACGAUACUGAUAGCUUAUGGUUAUCGAUGUGCAGAUAAUUCAAAGAAGAUAUCAUUCCUUGAUUCUCUUGAUGUCCCUCCAUAGAAUCAAGCAUAUUGUGAUAAUUCGGAGUUUAUGGUUUUGUUUAACAUAUAUUUAAAAACGAAAUGAAAACCCAAGAAACAUGAUUUUUAUUUU